rnacentral:snRNA from 1 species
AUCGCUUCUCGGCCUUUUUGGCUAAGAUCAAGUGUAGUAUCUGUUCUUAUCAGCUUAAAUUAUGUGUAUGUAUAACUUUGAUUUUAAAAUAUUUUUAAAGUAAAAAACAAGUACUGAAGUGCUUAGCAUAAGGCCAGGAACUUCAAAUAAGG